GCAAGCGUUGUUCGGAAUUACUGGGCGUAAAGGGCGCGUAGGCGGUUCGUUAAGUACUGUGUGAAAUCCCCCGGCUCAACUGGGGAACUGCACAGGAAACUAGCGGGCUUGAGUUCGGGAGAGGGAAGCGGAAUUCCGGGUGUAGCGGUGAAAUGCGUAGAUAUCCGGAGGAACACCGGUGGCGAAGGCGGCUUCCUGGACCGACACUGACGCUGAGGCGCGAAAGCUAGGGGAGCAAACGGG
rnacentral:rRNA from 1 species